rnacentral:rRNA from 1 species
UACGUAGGGUGCAAGCGUUGUCCGGAUUUACUGGGUUUAAAGCGUGCGUAGGUGGUUUGUUAAGUCAGGCGUGAAAUCCUGGGGCUCAACCUCAGAAUUGCGCUUGAUACUGACAGACUCGAGUGUGGUAGAGGAUAGUGGAAUUCCCGGUGUAGCGGUGAAAUGCGUAGAUAUCGGGAGGAACAUCAGUGGCGAAGGCGGCUAUCUGGACCAACACUGACACUGAGGUACGAAAGCGUGGGUAGUAAACAGG